rnacentral:rRNA from 1 species
UACGUAGGGGGCAAGCGUUGUCCGGAUUCAUUGGGCGUAAAGAGCGUGUAGGCGGCCAGGUAGGUCGGUUGUGAAAACUGGAGGCUCAACCUUCAGAGGUCGACCGAAACCAUCUGGCUAGAGUCCGGGAGAGGAGAGUGGAAUUCCUGGUGUAGCGGUGAAAUGCGCAGAUAUCAGGAAGAACACCCGUGGCGAAAGCGGCUCUCUGGACCACAACUGACGCUGAGGCGCGAAAGCUAGGGGAGCAAACAGG